rnacentral:rRNA from 1 species
UACAGAGGUCUCAAGCGUUGUUCGGAUUCAUUGGGCGUAAAGGGUGCGUAGGUGGCGCCAUAAGUCAGGUGUGAAAUCUCCGGGCUUAACUCGGAAAGGUCAACUGAUACUGUGCGACUAGAGUGCGGAAGGGGCAACUGGAAUUCUCGGUGUAGCGGUGAAAUGCGUAGAUAUCGAGAGGAACACCUGCGGCGAAGGCGGGUUGCUGGGCCGACACUGACGCUGAUGCGCGAAAGCCAGGGGAGCGAACGGG